rnacentral:rRNA from 1 species
UACGGAGGAUGCAAGCGUUAUCCGGAAUUAUUGGGCGUAAAGCGUCCGCAGGUGGCACUUCAAGUCUGCGGUCAAAGACUGGGGCUUAACCCUGGAAAGGCCGUGGAAACUGAAUAGCUAGAGUGCAGUAGGGGUAGAGGGAAUUCCCGGUGUAGCGGUGAAAUGCGUAGAGCUCGGGAAGAACAUCGGUGGCGAAAGCGCUCUGCUGGACUGCAACUGACACUCAGGGACGAAAGCUAGGGGAGCGAAUGGG